rnacentral:rRNA from 1 species
CGCGUAGGCGGUUAUUUAAGUCAGAUGUGAAAAACCGAGGCUCAACCUCGGCCUUGCAUUUGAAACUGGAUGACUUGAGGAUGAGAGAGGAAAGUGGAAUUCCUAGUGUAGCGGUGAAAUGCGUAGAUAUUAGGAGGAACACCAGUGGCGAAGGCGACUUUCUGGCUCAUACCUGACGCUGAGGCGCGAAAGCGUGGGGAGCAAACAGGAUUAGAUACCCUGGUAGUCC